AGAAAAGGAACCUCUUCCUGCAUUAAGACAACGGCGACGGGGUCACUGAAAGUGAAGCCUGUGGCGCACACGACACGACCUCCUCAACGGAUCUGUGGCUUACCCGUCGCCGUUAGAGCGUUUGCUCCAACGCUUCUGCAGUACAAGAGUACAGCUGAAAGCCAUAGUACACUGAUGAUAUUUGCAAGCCUGAAGUACAAGCCGCCCCUAACGAUCUCCCCCCCAUAUGUACUGCAGCUAACUUGUACUACUACCAGUGCACCAUGGCCGGGGUACAAAUAUGCCACCCUUCACCAAUGGAUGCAUCAGCAGCAGCCACAGCAAAAUUUGGUUUGGGAUAGGUAGGUGUUAUGUUAGGUCUGGUUUUUUGGCUGUAGCAGCAGCAGUGGAAGGGGCAUGCAGAGGAGCAGGAGAUUCAGUUUGAAGCUGGACUUCACUUUUGCCUCUCUCUCCUGUGCUUGCCUCUUCCAUUCCUGCUGCUAGGCUGUUCUGUGGAAGUUUGCAGAGUUUAUAUUAUGGGUUUAAUCGUCCAUGGCAUCAGCAUCAGCAGCGGUAUGUCAUGACAAUGCGGCCGUGCGAGCUCCAUGAGCUCGAAUGCCACUGCAGUGGAUUCAGGACAACGAAAUGGACACUGUUUUUCGUUGGAAAUUUGGGCGUAUGCCGUUGUAAAAUUCAUGUUUCAGAGAAAUGCCGCUACAAAAUGUAUCUAUGAGCUUGAAGUUAUCUCAAAGCUAUCAGUAACACAUUAUUUGGUCAAUUGUUCAGAUCGGGGAUUAGAUGCGAAAGAACUACAGAGCGUGGAAAAAAUGUAUUAAAAAAGAGGGUUUUGUACAGUUAAUUAAGCUGUAUACCUUGACUAAAUUUGUACUGUCACUUCCCAACUUAGAAAGCACUAAUCAAGAAGCAGUAGUAUUGUCAACGACAAUUACCUGCAUGUUCAUUCGUUCCAGUCAGCAUCUCAUCUAUGGUACAGACAACAGCAAGUGUUGGCUCUAAACUAACACAUUGCAAUUAAACAAUUAAUCUUUCCAAUCUCCUACCGCCCCAGUUUCUUCAUACUGCAAAAGAACAAAUCAUCACAAGAACAAGAGAACUAAUCAGAACAAAACAUGCAACUAAUCAAAUCACAAAGCGCGAACAGCUUCUUCUCGGAAAAUCAAUCACCUGCAAUUCCUAGGCACACUCCAGGUGACAGAAUCCCGGUCACUCCCGGGCGUCGCCAUGAACCUCCUCCAGUCCUGGAGCAUGAGCCCGAGGUCGUCGACCUUCCGGCGGAGGCCGACGCAGCAGUUGGCGUGCAUGGUGCACACCGUGCUCAGAUUCCGG
rnacentral:lncRNA from 1 species